UUCGAGCAUCGUUAGGGGUGGCGUCGGAGCGACUGGUGCGAUCAGCGGACACACUGUCACGGGGUGACAGCGGCGGGCGGCGGGCACUCUUCGCGCAAGGAAAAGCGAGUCGUAAAUUCGUCCGGACGAAACGACCGUGAUACCCGUCAUAUGGAGAACGGAGUGGCGCGUUAGGGUGACCGGUGAUCCCGCUUCCGCGGGUCAAGAGCGAGGGCCUACCACGAGGAGAGCGCGAAUGAUCGAUCCGACAGUUCGGAUCGGGAAGGCCGCUACCUCGGAUACGCUGAAAAUGGCGUCCAGCAAACCACCGGAGAUGAAUUACACAUGCGAGAUCUGCGGCCUGGAAGGCUUCAACGACGAGGAGAUGCGCUCGCACAUGGUGCAGUAUCACCUCCAGGGUGCCGCCAACUGCCCCUUCUGCGAUUUAGGCGAGAUCUCGCCCACAGAGAUGCUGGUCCACGUCAACAGCGCUCACCUGGAUUACCUGACCCCGAGCACUCCGGAAAACGAUAUGAUGGCGUUCAUCGACGACGACUCGCUGAUGGAGGAGCACAACAGGCGCGACGAGUGCCGGGCGCCCUCGCCGUCCAUGUCCCUGCGACCACCUUAUCUGCAGAACGGCUGGGGAAAUUCUGCGGGACAACGUAUCAAGCAGCAGCAGCAACAGCAGCAGCAGCAGCAGCAGCAGCAGCUUUCGUCGAGAAAAUCCGACGCUCAAAUCGCGAAUCCCAACAUGAAUAAUAACAACAAUAACAACAACAGCAACAAUGCGAAUACCGUGUUGGAAGGUGCAGCGGGUCAAGGUUCGCCACUGCGUUCUGGCCUAAAUCUGCAGUUGCGCUCGCACGCCACCCCGAAACUUCCAGUGCAGGAGUGCCCGAUGUGCCCGUACAGUUCCGACAGCCCCCUGAGGCUGGAAGAGCAUAUCAAUCGCCAACACUUUGAUCUCACCUCGCCGUCCUUCCCGCCGGAAUCACCACCGACGCGGGACGGAGUCUUCAACUGCCCUCUUUGCGUUACGUCUUUUCCGAAUUCUUCUGAUCUUGAGUUACACGUGAAUAUCGAGCACAAGGAUAUACUAAGCCCUGCGAACGGGACAGCCUCGCGGUCCGACGUGGCUACUGUCGGCAGCGACUCGACGCCCGCCUGUCCAGUAUGUCUUAGUACAUUAUUUAAGAAUAAUGACGACCUAAUGGCACACAUCGAAGAGCAUUUCAACAAGAAGAGCACGCCGUCGCCCGUGACACCGGACGUGUCGACCGACAGGCUACUCGCAAAGGACAUGGAGAGAAGAGAGAAAGAAGUGCGGAAGCUGCGUGAGCAACGCGAGUUUGAGAUGUUGCGGGCGCAGUACGGCAUGGACAAUCAGGGUAAUUUCCGGGAGCAGAGCGUCACCAAUAUGCAGCGAGCUGUUUACGCGGGCGAAAUGUCGGUGGCUGACUUCUUCGAGAGGCAAAUCGAGCUGAGGGUCGCCGAGAGCAGCGGCAUCGACGACGGCAGCUCUUGCACACGCGGGCUGGUCCCGAAAGUAUGUGCCAUCAGCCAGGCUUGCAGCAACGUAGUGAACACCUGGAUGUGUUCGACCGUGGACCAUUACGCGUCGACUUACGGCGACAAGGGCUGGGGUUGCGGCUACAGGAACAUGCAGAUGUUAAUCUCGUCUCUCUUGCAGCACACAGGGUACAACGAGCUAGUUUACAAGGCGUGGAGUUCCGGCGCCGGUGGCAACGGCUCCACGGAGAACCCGCUGCGCAGCUCCAUGCCGUCGAUCUCACGACUGCAGAAGAUGAUCGAGUGGGCGUGGACGCAGGGCUUUGACAUUCAGGGUGCGGAGCAGCUCGGCGGUAAACUGGUUAACACUAGGAAGUGGAUCGGCGCCACGGAGGUGCCAGCUGGUGGACUUUCAUAGACCUACCAGCGCGGACGGCGGCCACCCCGAGCUGUUCAACUGGGUCAUGCAGUACUUUCAACGGUGUGACGACUUCAAACCACCCCUUUACCUUCAGCAUCAAGGGCACAGCAGAACGAUAAUGGGUGUAGAGCAGUUGAGGGACGGCUCGAUAACCAUGCUGGUGCUGGAUCCGAGUCAUAGCCCGGCGCAAAUGGCGCAUUUCAACAGCACGAGCAGCGCAACCGGCGCGAUGAGGCUCGUACGA
rnacentral:misc_RNA from 1 species